CCUACGGGAGGCAGCAGUGAGGAAUAUUGGUCAAUGGGAGAGAGCCUGAACCAGCCAAGCCGCGUGAGGGAAGACGGCCCUAUGGGUUGUAAACCUCUUUUGUCGGAGAGCAAAACCCGCGACGUGUCCCGUUCUGCGUGUAUCCGAAGAAAAAGCAUCGGCUAACUCCGUGCCAGCAGCCGCGGUAAUACGGAGGAUGCGAGCGUUAUCCGGAUUUAUUGGGUUUAAAGGGUGCGUAGGCGGUCCUUUAAGUCAGCGGUAAAAUUGCGGGGCUCAACCCCGUCGAGCCGUUGAAACUGGCAUACUUGAGUGGGCGAGAAGUACGCGGAAUGCGUGGUGUAGCGGUGAAAUGCAUAGAUAUCGCGCAGAACUCCGAUUGCGAAGGCAGCGUACCGGCGCCAGACUGACGCUGAGGCACGAAAGCGUGGGUAUCGAACAGGAUUAGAUACCCGUGUAGUC
rnacentral:rRNA from 1 species